rnacentral:rRNA from 1 species
AAUAAAAAAUUUAUUUUAUUUAUAUUUUUAUUUAUUUUAAAAUAAUAAAAUAUUUUUUAGUAAAAGUAAAGAAAAAUUUUAUUUAAUGAUAGUUAAUUAGUAUUGUGAGAGAAUAUUUUAUUUUUAUAAAAGAAAAAUUUAUUUUUUGUACCUUGUGUAUCAGGGAUUAUUAAUUAAUAAUUAUAUAUUUAUUAUUUUCGAAUUUAAAAGAGCUAAAAAAUUAAAAUUUUUAUUGUAAAAUAAAUAUUUUAAAUAAUUUUUUUGUAAUGAAAUGUUAUUCGUUUUUAAAUAUAUCUAAUUUUUUAAGAAAUAAAUUAAAUUUAUUUAUUAACAAUAUAUUUAUAAUUAAAUAUUUUUAUAUUAUUAAUAUUAAAUAUUUUUAGGGAUGAGCUUAAAAAUAAAAUUUUAUUAAAAUUUAAUUUUUAAAUAAAAAUUAGGAUUAAAAAUUUUCAUAUUUUAAAAUAUGUUAUUAUUUAUUUUUAUAUAUUAUUAUUUUUAUUUUUUAUAAAUUUUUUAUUAAAAUAUAAAUUUAAAUUAUUUAAAUUUAGUAAUGAUGAUAAUAUUAGUAUUAAAAAAUUGUAUAUUUAGUAAAAAUAUAUAGGUUUAAUAAAGGAAUUCGGCAACAUUUUUUUCACCUGUUUAUUAAAAACAUGUCUUUUUGUAUUAAAUAUAAAGUCUCGCCUGCCCACUGAUUAAUUUGAAUGGCCGCGGUAUUUUGACCGUGCUAAGGUAGCAUAAUCAUUAGUUUUUUUAUUGAAAGCUGGAAUGAAGGGUUGGAUGAAAAAAAAACUGUCUUUAUUUAAUUUAUAAAGAAUUUUAUUUUUAAGUUAAAAAGCUUAAAUUUUUUUAAAAGACGAGAAGACCCUAUAGAGUUUUAUAAAAUUAUUAAUAAGUUUUUUUAGUAUUAAAUUUAUUUAUAUAAUAAAUUUAUUUAAUUGGGGUGAUUAAAAAAUAAAUUUAACUUUUUUUAUAUUAUUAUAUUAAUUAAUAAUUUUUUGAUCCAAUUUUUUUGAUUAUAAGAAUAAAUUACCUUAGGGAUAACAGCGUAAUUUUAUUGGAGAGUUCAAAUCGAUAAUAAAGAUUGCGACCUCGAUGUUGGAUUAAAGUUUAUAAUUGGUGUAGCAGCUAUAUUAUUAAGUCUGUUCGACUUUUAAAAUUUUACAUGAUCUGAGUUUAAACCGGUGUGAGCCAGGUUGGUUUCUAUCUUUAAUUUAUUAAUAUAUUUUAGUACGAAAGGACCAAAUAUAUAAAAUAAUUUUUAUAUUUAGAUAAAUAUUGUUAUUUUGGCAGAUUAGUGCUAUAGAUUUAGAAUCUUUAUAUGUAAUUAUUUUACAAAUAAUAC